AUACUUACCUGGCACAGGAGAUACCGUGAUCACGAAGGCGGUUUUCCCAGGGCGAGGCUCACCAUUGCACUCCGGUGGCGCUGACCCCUGCGAUUAACCCAAAUGUGGUUAACUCGAGUGCGCAAUUUUUGGUAGCGGGGGACUGCGUUCGCGCUAUCCCCCU
rnacentral:snRNA from 1 species